rnacentral:rRNA from 1 species
UGUGGGAGUGAAGGCGCACAGCUCAAAAUGAAAUCUGGCCCUCGUGGUCGAGUUGUAAUUUGGAGAAGGUGCUUCGGGUGCGGCCACGGUCCAAGUCCCUUGGAACAGGGCGUCCCAGAGGGUGAGAAUCCCGUAUGCGGCUGAUGGACAAGCCCGUGUGAAGCCCUUUCGACGAGUCGAGUUGUUUGGGAAUGCAGCUCUAAAUGGGUGGUAAAUUUCAUCUAAAGCUAAAUAUUCGCUAAAGACCGAUAGCGCACAAGUAGAGUGAUCGAAAGAUGAAAAGCACUUUGAAAAGAGAGUUAAAAAGUACGUGAAAUUGUUGAAAGGGAAGCGCUUGCAACCAGACUCGCUCGCGGGUGCUCAGUCGUCCCUCGGGGCGGUGCACUCUCCCGCGAUCGGGCCAGCAUCGGUUUUGGCGGUUGGAUAAAGGCCCCGGGAACGUAGCUCUUCGGAGUGUUAAGCCCGGGGUGCAAUGCAGCCAGCCGAGACCGAGGACCGCGCAUUCGUUAGGAUGCUGGCGUAAUGGUUGCCAGCGACCCGUCUUGAAACACGGACCAAGGAGUCGACCAAUCGAGCGAGUAUGUGGGUAUGACACCCAAAUGCGUAAUGAAAGUGAACGGAGGUGGGAACCCUCGGGUGCACCAUCGACCGAUCCUGAUGUUUUCGGAUGGAUUUGAGUAUGAGCCCGGCUGGUCGGACCCGAAAGAUGGUGAACUAUGCCUGAAUAGGGUGAAGCCAGAGGAAACUCUGGUGGAGGCUCGCAGCGGUUCUGACGUGCAAAUCGAUCGUCAAAUUUGGGCAUAGGGGCGAAAGACUAAUCGAACCAUCUAGUAGCUGGUUCCCGUCGAAGUUUCCCUCAGGAUAGCAGCAACGGAAACAGUCUCAUGAGGUAGAGCGAACGAUUAGAGGCCUUGGGGUUGAAACAACCUUAACCUAUUCUCGAACUUCGAAUAUGUGAGAAGUCCUUGUUACUUUGUUGAACGUGGACAUUUGGAUGUGUCGUUGCUAGUGGCCCAUUUUUGGUAGAAAAAAACUGGCCAAA